ACUCCUACGGGAGGCAGCAGUGGGGAAUAUUGCACAAUGGGCGCAAGCCUGAUGCAGCAACGCCGCGUGAGGGACGACGGCCUUCGGGUUGUAAACCUUUUUUAGUAGGGAAGAAGCGAAAGUGACGGUACCUGCAGAAAAAGCCCCGGCUAAUUACGUGCCAGCAGCCGCGGUAAUACGUAGGGUCCAAGCGUUAUCCGGAAUUAUUGGGCGUAAAGAGCUCGUAGGCGGUUUGUCGCGUCUGCUGUGAAAACUGGAGGCUCAACCUCCAGCCUGCAGUGGGUACGGGCAAACUAGAGUGCGGUAGGGGAGAUUGGAAUUCCUGGUGUAGCGGUGGAAUGCGCAGAUAUCAGGAGGAACACCGAUGGCGAAGGCAGAUCUCUGGGCCGUAACUGACGCUGAGGAGCGAAAGCAUGGGGAGCGAACAGGAUUAGAUACCCUGGUAGUCCAUGCCGUAAACGUUGGGAACUAGAUGUGGGGGCCAUUCCACGGCUUCCGUGUCGCAGCUAACGCAUUAAGUUCCCCGCCUGGGGAGUACGGCCGCAAGGCUAAAACUCAAAGGAAUUGACGGGGGCCCGCACAAGCGGCGGAGCAUGCGGAUUAAUUCGAUGCAACGCGAAGAACCUUACCAAGGCUUGACAUAUACCUGAAAAGGCUGGAAACAGUCUCCCCGCAAGGCAGGUAUACAGGUGGUGCAUGGUUGUCGUCAGCUCGUGUCGUGAGAUGUUGGGUUAAGUCCCGCAACGAGCGCAACCCUCGUUCUAUGUUGCCAGCGCGUUAUGGCGGGAACUCAUAGGAGACUGCCGGGGUCAACUCGGA
rnacentral:rRNA from 1 species